rnacentral:rRNA from 1 species
UACGAAGGGGCUAGCGUUGCUCGGAAUCACUGGGCGUAAAGGGUGCGUAGGCGGGUCUUUAAGUCAGGGGUGAAAUCCUGGAGCUCAACUCCAGAACUGCCUUGAUACUGAGGAUCUUGAGUACGGGAGAGGUGAGUGGAACUGCGAGUGUAGAGGUGAAAUUCGUAGAUAUUCGCAAAGAACACCAGUGGCGAAGGCGGCUCACUGGCCCGUAACUGACGCUGAGGCACGAAAGCGUGGGAGCAACAGGG